rnacentral:lncRNA from 1 species
UAAGUGAUAAAGACAUAGGGUCUUUAGAUUUGGGGUCCUUGGUCCAAAAUAAUAAAAAUGAGGUCAAGGUCAAAGGUCAAGGUCAUAUUCUAAAUUUUGAUUUUGGCUUAUUUUCAUUUAUUUUCAAAUACCUUAUGACAUAUCGACAAAUAAUUUUUCAUAAAUUGUUAGUUGCGACAUGUCCUUACUUGUAUAUUUUGAUUGAAAGGGUGCGCAGGCAAUAAAUAGGAGUUUUUGCCCAUCUUACAUUUAGAAUUACGCGUAAAGUGAUAUUACUAAUAAACCAAACAUAUUAAAGACCUUGGGUCUUUUGAUUUAAGGUCCUUGGUUUGUGAACUUGAAAUUGAGGUCAAGGUCAUAGGUCAAUAUGACGUUCUAGAUUUUGACCUUUGCUUUAAAUUCAUAUAAAUACAUCAUACAGCCAUAGGAACUAACAUUUUAAACUGAUUUUUAAUAUUUCAAUAUCAAAAUAGAUCUUUUCUAGUGGAAAGACCUACAAUUGUUCUCUGAACAAUUGGUUUUUAAUUAUUAUUAUUUUUUUUUUUUUUUUCUUCCGCCUAAUUUUUUUCUUGCGUAUUAUUGAUGUUUCAAAAGAUGUCGCUUAUAUAUUUGGAAUAUGGUAUCGUAUAGUUUAUACGCUUUAAAAAAUUUACAACUGUGUAACAAAAUACUUUACGUUGUAAGAGUUAUCUCCCCAAACACUGUUUUUCUUGUGGCCACUACUCCUUCGCAACCGUUAAAGAUUACGACAAAUUUAUUUUACCAAAUUGCUCGUUACAUCUUCAGGAUUAGGAUAUUCAUUUGGACCGAAGCUUUACGGAGACUCCAUAUGAGAGUUAUUCCCCCUUUUCCCUUAAAUUAAGUGAUAUGCAUUUCUAAAUGGUAAACCAUAAGUGAUAAAGACAUAGGGUCUUUAGAUUUGGGGUCCUUGGUCGAAAAUAAUAAAAAUGAGGUCAAGGUCAAAGGUCAAGGUCAUAUUCUAAAUUUUGAUUUUGGCUUAUUUUCAUUUAUUUUCAAAUACCUUAUGACAUAUCGACAAAUAAUUUUUCAUAAAUUGUUAGUUGCGACAUGUCCUUACUUGUAUAUUUUGAUUGAAAGGGUGCGCAGACAAUAAAUAGGAGUUUUUGCCCAUCUUACAUUUAGAAUUACGGGUAAAGUGAUAUUACUAAUAAACCAAACAUAUUAAAGACCUUGGGUCUUUUGAUUUAAGGUCCUUGGUUUGUUAACUUGAAAUUGAGGUCAAGGUCAUAGGUUAAUAUGACGUUCUAGAUUUUGACCUUUGCUUUAAAUUCAUAUAAAUACAUCAUACAGCCAUAGGAACUAACAUUUUAAACUGAUUUUUAAUAUUUCAAUAUCAAAAAAGAUCUUUUCUAGUGGAAAGACCUACAAUUGUUCUCUGAACAAUUGGUUUUUAAUU